GUCCAGACUCCUACGGGAGGCAGCAGUGGGGAAUAUUGCACAAUGGGGGAAACCCUGAUGCAGCAACGCCGCGUGAGUGAAGAAGUAUUUCGAUAUGUAAAGCUCUAUCAGCAGGGAAGAAGAUGACGGUACCUGAGUAAGAAGCCCCGGCUAACUACGUGCCAGCAGCCGCGGUAAUACGUAGGGGGCAAGCGUUAUCCGGAUUUACUGGGUGUAAAGGGAGCGUAGACGGCUGUGCAAGCCAGAUGUGAAAGCCCGGGGCUCAACCCCGGGACUGCAUUUGGAACUGUGUGGCUGGAGUGUCGGAGAGGCAGGCGGAAUUCCUAGUGUAGCGGUGAAAUGCGUAGAUAUUAGGAGGGACACCAGUGGCGAAGGCGGCCUGCUGGACGAUGACUGACGUUGAGGCUCGAAAGCGUGGGGAGCAAACAGGAUUAGAUACCCUCGUAC
rnacentral:rRNA from 1 species